UAAUACGUAGGUGGCAAGCGUUAUCCGGAAUUAUUGGGCGUAAAGCGCGCGUAGGCGGUUCGUUAAGUCUGAUGUGAAAGCCCCCGGCUCAACCGGGGAGGGUCAUUGGAAACUGGCGGACUUGAGUGCAGAAGAGGAGAGUGGAAUUCCAUGUGUAGCGGUGAAAUGCGCAGAGAUAUGGAGGAACACCAGUGGCGAAGGCGGCUCUCUGGUCUGCAACUGACGCUGAGGUGCGAAAGCGUGGGGAUCAAACAGGAUUAGAUACCCUGGUAGUCCACGCCGUAAACGAUGAGUGCUAAGUGUUAGGGGGUUUCCGCCCCUUAGUGCUGCAGCUAACGCAUUAAGCACUCCGCCUGGGGAGUACGGCCGCAAGGUUGAA
rnacentral:rRNA from 1 species